GUCUGGGGAGAGAGGAGAGAGCAGACUCCUGCGGGUGCGAGUGGAGCACACACGGUCCAGGAGAGAAGGAGGUGGUGUUUGGGACUCAGCGGAGCCCGCCGCAGAGCAGGCAGAAGCCUGCACGGGGAUGGGCGGGACUUCCGCCCAAUGCCCCUGUGGUAACUGGUGUGUAUCAGUGCCCAGGGCAUGUUUGUCACCAGGGAGCACUUACGGUGACCCGGGUGUGUGUGCGCAUGCACGUGCGUGUCUGUAGCUUAGGAAGCGUGUGCCCUUUGUACACUGGGCACGGAAUCAAGGCCUCGCCAGCUGUUGACUCUGCUUCUUGCAAGAAUGGCAGUGCCGUCUGUCCUCUGCUUGCACCCAUGUGAGCAGUGGGGAAGUGAACAGGCGAGGGAUUUGCCUCUCCCGAGCGAGGUAUGAGGCGGUGGCGGUGCUGGGACCCGGAGCCCGGUGGCCCAGCUGCAGGAAGCGCCCAGGAAAGCCCUCCAUGUAAUUACUUGGCUCUGUGCAGCCCUGGGGGGAUGCUUGAAGGCGGAAGCUGGGCGUAGAGGAGGCCGCAGGAACCUCUGGAGAGUUCUCCGAAGGAGAAGCGGGAACCUUGUGGAUGAGUACAACUGCCUUGGAGCCCAGCCCUGGCCCAGCGGCCCAGAGAGAACGGAGCUUUCCGAAGAGACCGUGGAGGUGCGGCUGAGGAACGGCAGAGGAGCCAGAUGCACCCAGUCCGGGAGCCCUCUGUGUUCUGGCCUUUGCUGCAGGGAGCGGAGUCAGGAGGCUACAGACCCCUGGCCCAGGCGGGGCCGUCUCAGGCACACAGUCUGUCCCCCUUCUCCACAGCCCUCAGAUGUGAGCACCCGGGAUGGCACAUGGUCUCCCUGGGUUUGCUGAGGACGCGUCUCCCCCUGGGAAACCCCUGCUCUACCUGUGGGGCUGCCAGGUUCACAGCAGGAUCGGCACACAGAAGUCAGAGUGGAAGGCAGCCUGCGAGCAGUGAGCACUGCGGACCCUGAGAGCCCAACAUGGCGCUUGGAUCCCAGGUGGUCUGGGGGUCUGCUGACAGCCUCUCGGGUGUGUCUGUGCUGCCACUUCGGGAGAGCCUAGCACUCGAGUGGGGGCGACCGAGGCCCACGGACCUCUCUCGCUAUCCCCGAGGGCCUGGCUGGAGCCUGAGGCCAGGGAAGUGGCAGCUGCUGCCCGCCACCCGCCACCCACCCGCGCUGGACCAGCCCUCUCUCCAGUCUCUGCUUGCAAAGGCAGACUGUGGGCGUGGGCUCCACCAGGAUCCUCAGGACCACCAGCCUCGGAGUGAGGAAGGGACAAGGUGUCUAUGGUGGAGGGUGCUUCACCCUCCCAGCUCCGUGAUGGGGCUGUGUGUGCACGUGAGCGUGAGCCUCACGGGCUACGGGAGAAGCUUGAGUUUUACAGCUGUGAAUGGCACAACUCGCUGUAAAGCGACGGGCGGAGGUUCCGAGUUUAUUGGGCUGCGGGAUCAGUGCUGAACCUGGCUCACGGCUCUGCUCAAGUCCACGAGAGCCCAGCUGGGCUCAUGAUGGGCUAACUCAUCCCCCCAGUGCAGAUGUGGGACCGCUGCUCCCUGCACCUCAGCAGGCCAGUGAGAUGGGACUUUAAAGAGGUGGCUGCGUUCAAGGUGGGCAACCCGACCGGUGUCCUCCUGAGGAGAGGACUUGGACCCCAGAUGCCCACAGCCAGAGUCACCUGCAAGUCACAGAGACGGGCCUCAGGGGACAGCUCAGCUGCUGACGCCUGGCCUUCACCCUUUGGCUUCCUGAAACUGGAGGAGGGAAGUCUGAGCCGUCCGCUCUGUGGUAUUCCUUGUGCAGCCCGGUGGACGCACAGAGGCCCGGGCAGCGCUGUGUCGAAAAGGGGCCCCCUCAGUGCCGUCAGCACUGUGCCCAGCACCUUCCAGUGG
ensembl:lncRNA